rnacentral:rRNA from 1 species
CCAGUUCGGAUCGCAGGCUGCAACCCGCCUGCGUGAAGUUGGAAUCGCUAGUAAUCGCGGAUCAGCAUGCCGCGGUGAAUACGUUCCCGGGCCUUGUACACACCGCCCGUCACACCAUGAGAGUCGGGAACACCCGAAGUCCGUAGCCUAACCGCAAGGGGGGCGCGGCCGAAGGUGGGUUCGAUAAUUGGGGUGAAGUCGUAACAAGGUACC